rnacentral:rRNA from 1 species
CCUACGGGAGGCAGCAGUGAGGAAUAUUGGUCAAUGGUCGGGAGACUGAACCAGCCAAGCCGCGUGAGGGAGGAAGGUACAGAGUAUCGUAAACCUCUUUUGUCAGGGAACAAAGACUGGGACGCGUCCCCGGAUGAGUGUACCUGAAGAAAAAGCCUCGGCGAACUCCGUGCCAGCAGCCGCGGUUAUAAGGGGGAUGCGAGCGUUCUCCGGAUUUAUUGGGUUUAAAGGGUGCGCAGGCGGUCUGUUAAGUCAGCGGCCAAAGCCCGGGGCGCAACCCCGGCCCGCCGUUGAAACUGGCAGUCUCGAGUUGGAGAGAAGUAUGCGGAAUGCGCGGUGUAGCGGUGAAAUGCAUAGAUAUCGCGCAGAACUCCGAUUGCGAAGGCAGCAUGCCGGCUCCACACUGACGCUGAGGCACGAAAGCGUGGGUAUCGAACAGGAUUAGAUACCCGAGUAGUC